AUGUUUGCCGUGAAAAAUAUUUUAAAACCAUGACCACUAAGGUGAUUUUCCCAGGGCGAGGCUUAUCCAUUGCACUCCGGAUGUGCUGACCCCUGCGAUUUCCCCAAAUGUGGGAAACUCGACUGCAUAAUUAAAGAUGAUGUUAGAAUUAUAUUGUUUUAUCUGGUG
ensembl:snRNA U1 U1 spliceosomal RNA